UUGGCCCUCGUCGGCCGCCGUCCUCGCAGUCGCUGAGGUGGGGUUCGGGGGCGGUAGACACUGAAGCAAAGUGCUUGGGGAAGUGGUACGAUGAUUUGUCUCCAGAGGUGAAGAUCGACGUUAUCGCCAGUUGAGUAUUUUCGUUAUCUGCAAAUAAUUUUGGCCAGGUGGCAAGUUUAUGAACUGUGGAGUAAGAAGAACCUGCUUCUGCCUCUGACUUGGGUUCUAGUCUACAGGAAUAAGACAUUAUCAGUACUGGAAGAAGGAGGAGGUCUCAGGCUUAGGAGAUCAUCAUUUCUGGCAGCAGCCUGACCCGAGAUAUCUGACCAUAACUUCCAGGCAGGCCGGGAGCAGACAGAAG